CACCAGACUCCUACGGGAGGCAGCAGUGGGGGAUAUUGCACAAUGGGGGAAACCCUGAUGCAGCGACGCCGCGUGAGUGAAGAAGUAUUUCGGUAUGUAAAGCUCUAUCAGCAGGGAAGAAGAAAGACGGUACCUGAGUAAGAAGCCCCGACUAACUACGUGCCAGCAGCCGCGGUAAUACGUAGGGGGCAAGCGUUAUCCGGAUUUACUGGGUGUAAAGGGAGCGUAGACGGUAUGGCAAGUCUGAAGUGAAAGCCCCGGGCUCAACCUGGGAACUGCUUUGGAAACUGUUAAACUAGAGUGCUGGAGAGGUAAUCGGAAUUCCUUGUGUAGCGGUGAAAUGCGUAGAUAUAAGGAAGAACACCAGUGGCGAAGGCGGAUUACUGGACGAUAACUGACGGUGAGGCGCGAAAGCGUGGGGAGCAAACAGGAUUAGAUACCCCUGUAA
rnacentral:rRNA from 1 species